rnacentral:rRNA from 1 species
GACGAACGCUGGCGGCGUGCCUAAUACAUGCAAGUCGAACGCUUCUUUCCUCCCGAGUGCUUGCACUCAAUUGGAAAGAGGAGUGGCGGACGGGUGAGUAACACGUGGGUAACCUACCCAUCAUAGGGGGAUAACACUUGGAAACAGGUGCUAAUACCGCAUAACAGUUUAUGCCGCAUGGCAUAAGAGUGAAAGGCGCUUUCGGGUGUCGCUGAUGGAUGGACCCGCGGUGCAUUAGCUAGUUGGUGAGGUAACGGCUCACCAAGGCCACGAUGCAUAGCCGACCUGAGAGGGUGAUCGGCCACACUGGGACUGAGACACGGCCCAGACUCCUACGGGAGGCAGCAGUAGGGAAUCUUCGGCAAUGGACGAAAGUCUGACCGAGCAACGCCGCGUGAGUGAAGAAGGUUUUCGGAUCGUAAAACUCUGUUGUUAGAGAAGAACAAGGACGUUAGUAACUGAACGUCCCCUGACGGUAUCUAACCAGAAAGCCACGGCUAACUACGUG